rnacentral:misc_RNA from 1 species
UAUCACUGCAAUGGCUGAGGGGCUGAACUCUACGUUGUAUAAUCACUUUCUUGUUCUCCUUUGGCGCAAUGGAGAUCAUACAUAUCUGAGUGGGGCGGAUAUGACUGCUGAUUCUGAGUGGGAAUCCUUUCAAAGCGUAAUUAAACAAAUAUGCAAAGAGUCUGGUCAUACUUCUGAAAAACUUUCAGAUUCUGUUUCAUGCUCUUCAUGGGAGUUUCUUAUUAAUAGCAGAUAUCACAA